GACGAACGCUGGCGGCGCGCUUAACACAUGCAAGUCGAACGGAAAGGCCUGCUUUCCCUUGUGGAUUGCGGGUACUCGAGUGGCGAACGGGUGAGUAACACGUGAGUGAUCUGCCCCCAACUUGGGUAUAAGCCUGGGAAACUGGGUCUAAUUCCCGAUAGGACUGCAGGGUGGUGCCUGUGUUGGAAAACGAUUUUCUAGUGGUUGGGGAUGAGCUCGCGGCCUAUCAGCUUGUUGGUGGGGUAAUGGCCUACCAAGGCGGCGACGGGUAGCCGGCCUGAGAGGGUGGACGGCGACAUUGGGACUGGGAUACGGCCCAGACUCCUGCGGGAGGCAGCAGUGGGGAAUAUUGCGCAAUGGGCGGAAGCCUGAUGCAGCGACGCCGCGUGGGGGAUGACGGCCUUCGGGUUGUAAACUCCUUUCGACCGCGAGGAAGCCACCUGGUUGGAAGGGUGGUGACGGUAGUGGUAGAAGAAGCACCGGCUAACUACGUG
rnacentral:rRNA from 1 species